GCCAUGCAUGUCUAAGUGCAAGCCGUUUUAUACGGUGAAACCGCGAAAGGCUCAUAAAUCAGUUAUGGUUCCUUAGAUCGUACCCACGUUACAUGGAUAACUGUGGUAAUUCUAGAGCUAAUACAUGCCCACAGAGCUCCGACCAGCGUUCCGUCGUUCGGCGGUUCGCCCGUCGUCGCUGGACGUUCGGAAGGAGCGCUUUUAUUAGAUCAAAACCGGCCAAGCGUGUCGUUCGCGUUUCGUGCUCGCGCGUAAGUGGCCCGCGCAAAGACUUGACGACUCUGAAUAACUUCGAGCUGAUCGCACGGUCCUCGUACCGGCGACGUAUCUUUCAAAUGUCUGCCUUAUCAACUGUCGACGGUAGGUUCUACGCCUACCGUGGUGGUAACGGGUAACGGGGAAUCAGGGUUCGAUUCCGGAGAGGGAGCCUGAGAAACGGCUACCACAUCCAAGGAAGGCAGCAGGCGCGCAAAUUAUCCACUCCCAGAUCGGGGAGAUAGUGACGAAAAAUAACGAUACGGGACUCAUCCGAGGCCCCGUAAUCGGAAUGAGUACACUUUAAAACCUUGGUCACACGAGGAUCAAUUGGAGGGCAAGUCUGG
rnacentral:rRNA from 1 species